rnacentral:rRNA from 1 species
UACGUAGGGUGCGAGCGUUGUCCGGAAAUUACUGGGCGUAAAGAGCUCGUAGGCGGUUUGUCGCGUCUGCUGUGAAAACUGGAGGCUCAACCUCCAGCCUGCAGUGGGUACGGGCAAACUAGAGUGUUGCAGGGGAGACUGGAAUUCCUGGUGUAGCGGUGAAAUGCGCAGAUAUCAGGAGGAACACCGGUGGCGAAGGCGGGUCUCUGGGCCGAGUACAGACGUGGAGGAGCGAAAGCGUGGGGAGCGAACAGG